rnacentral:lncRNA from 1 species
GCUCCAGGGCGGGCUUGGAAAUGGAGACAAACUCCUCCGAGCCGUUGACGCUCAGCCGGACAGGGCUUAGGAGUCCCGAGCCCAGUCCUGUUCACCCCCAUUUUAUAGAAAGGGAAACUGAGGCCCAGACAGGGGAAAGUCACUUGCCGAGGUGUUUACUGCAGACUGCGUUGACCGAACCUGCUUUUUCACAGCAGUCAGACAGCAAGCCCUCUCGUCCCUCCAGGACCCUAGUUCCUGGGGAGGAAGGCGUUCUCAGCGAUAAUGACCAGCAUUAAAGUGCUCCCCGUUACCGGCGUCACUGCCCCAGCCAGUGGAGGCCCCGGAGAGGGACUGAAGAUGUGUCACCUAACUUCUCUGAACCUUCCUCCCUCAAGGAGAACUGAUAAUCCCUAACUCACAGUUCUGUGAGGAUUGAAUGCUUUAAGCAUGCAGGUUAAGUGGCUACUGAAGGCAGUUUUUGUGGACAGAAACUGGUCCCAGCGUCAGAUCUGCGAUGCUGCCCAGGCAUGGUGGUGACCCUCUCUAAACAAGCACACUCAGAAUUUCCCUGGCUCAGCUGGGCGACUCAGAAGAAAACUGGCCAUCAGCUUCUGCCUCAAGCGGGUGCUGUGGCAAGGAAGACAGAGCAUGUGUGUUGUGAACACUCAUUAUAGGAUCAUCCCUGCUGUGCCAGGUGCCUGGUGCUGGAUGCAGAAAGCAGGACACAUGGAAAGAUGGUGUGUUCACAAAGAAUUUGGAAGAAAGCCAGAUGGUGACAAGAGUGUGUCUCUGAAUGCCCCUUUUGGGGGUCACUAAAAAUGCCCCAGGGUUUUUAGUUAGACCAAUAAGGAGGCUUCAAAGAAAUGACAUCUGAGCCGGGUUGUGAUACAUCUAGGAUGUCAACAGGCAGAGAAAGGGCAGGGACUGGGAGUAAGGAAAGAACAUCUGUUCAAGGCACAACACUGAUUACCAAAGUUUCUAUCAUCCUUAUGUUGACAACGGACAUAAUUUUAACCUUUUGUAUAAGCCAGACUGUGAAGGAUUAUUAGCAGAAUAAAAGCAUCUAUUGGGCCUGGU